rnacentral:rRNA from 2 species
UGCAAGUCGAACGAGUUCUGAUUAUUGAAAGGUGCUUGCAUCUUGAUUUAAUUUUGAACGAGUGGCGGACGGGUGAGUAACACGUGGGUAACCUGCCCUUAAGUGGGGGAUAACAUUUGGAAACAGAUGCUAAUACCGCAUAAAUCCAAGAACCGCAUGGUUCUUGGCUGAAAGAUGGCGUAAGCUAUCGCUUUUGGAUGGACCCGCGGCGUAUUAGCUACUUGGUGAGGUAACGGCUCACCAAGGCAAUGAUACGUAGCCGAACUGAGAGGUUGAUCGGCCACAUUGGGACUGAGACACGGCCCAAACUCCUACGGGAGGCAGCAGU